CGAGCAGUUGCUCAGUGGAAGAGCUUUAGCCUUGUUUGCGGGAAGACCCGGGUUCGAUUCCUGGCUACUUCA
rnacentral:tRNA from 1 species